GAAAAGCAAUCGAUCAGAGCAACGAGCAGCAGAGUCCAUGCUAUGAUCUUAGCCAUCGUCGCUCCAAACGGUUUAAUGUGAUGAAUUUCAGUCUG